UACGUAGGGUGCGAGCGUUGUCCGGAAUUACUGGGCGUAAAGAGCUCGUAGGUGGUUUGUCGCGUUGUCCGUGAAAACUCACAACUCAAUUGUGGGCGUGCGGGCGAUACGGGCAGACUGGAGUACUGCAGGGGAGACUGGAAUUCCUGGUGUAGCGGUGGAAUGCGCAGAUAUCAGGAGGAACACCGGUGGCGAAGGCGGGUCUCUGGGCAGUAACUGACGCUGAGGAGCGAAAGCGUGGGGAGCGAACAG
rnacentral:rRNA from 1 species